CAGAGAAUAGUUUAAAAAAUAUUAAAUUUGGGGUUUAAAGAUAGGAUAUUUAUCCUUUCUCUGA
rnacentral:tRNA from 1 species